AUUGAACGCUGGCGGCAGGCUUAACACAUGCAAGUCGAGCGAGCGGCGGACGGGUGAGUAAUGUCUGGGAAACUGCCUGAUGGAGGGGGUUAACUACUGGAACCGGUAGCUAAUACGGCAUACAAUCAGAUGGGCCCAGAUGGGAUUAGCCAGUAGGUGGGGUAAUGGCUCACCUAGGCGACGAUCCCUAGCUGGUCCGAGAGGAGUACCGGCCACACUGGAAUUGGGACACGGUCCAGACUCCUACGGGAGGCAGCAGUGGGGAAUAUUGGACAAUGGGCGCAGGCCUGAUGCAGCCAUGCCGCGUGUGGGAAGAAGGCCUUCGGGUUGUAAAGCACUUUCAGCGAGGAGGCGUUACUCGCAGAAGAAGCACCGGCUAACUCCGUGCCAGCCGCCGCGGUAAUUC
rnacentral:rRNA from 1 species